rnacentral:tRNA from 2 species
ACCAGGAUGGCCGAGUGGUUAAGGCGUUGGGCUUAAGAUCCAAUGGACAUACUGUAUGUCCGCGUGGGUUCGAACCCCACUCCUGGUA